UUUACUACAGCAAAAAGAGGCUAUCACAAAGUGAAGCAAUUGAAGAAAAAUGUAAUUUCUAGAAGUGGGUAUGUUACCAUCUUUGGCAAUCUUGACGCCACCAAGCUCGAGAACUGAUGACACCGGUUGCCUCCACUUCUUGUGGAGCUGGAAUUUGUCUGAAGGAAAAGCAGAAGCUGUGGAGAAAGAAGAGAAUUGUAUGCAAAAGUUAAAGGUCCUUCUGCGAGAGAAAAGCGAUGGAUUUGAGAAGAGCGCUGAUUGAAACACUGUGAAUGCCAUGGCUGGUUGUAGUGGUUACAGGAGUCAGAUUUUAAGGAUGACUCCGGUAUCAUGGGCUCUCAAUUUUUAAGUGUUCGUUUUCAAGAUUUUGGGGUCU
rnacentral:lncRNA from 1 species